AUACGUAGGGGGCGAGCGUUGUCCGGAAUGAUUGGGCGUAAAGGGCGCGUAGGCGGCCCGGUAAGUCUGGAGUGAAAGUCCUGUUUUUAAGAUGGGAAUUGCUUUGGAUACUGUCGGGCUUGAGUGCAGGAGAGGUAAGUGGAAUUCACAGUGUAGCGGUGAAAUGCGUAGAGGUUGGGAGGAACACCAGUGGCGAAGGCGACUUACUGGACUGUAACUGACGCUGAGGCGCGAAAGUGUGGGGAGCAAACAGGAUUAGAUACCCUGGUAGUCCACACUGUAAACGAUGAAUGCUAGGUGUAGGGGGUAUCGACCCCUUCUGUGCCGCAGUCAACACAAUAAGCAUUCCGCCUGGGGAGUACGGCCGCAAGGUUGAAACUCAAAGGAAUUGACGGGG
rnacentral:rRNA from 1 species